rnacentral:tRNA from 1 species
GUUAAUGUAGCUUAAAAUUAAAGCAAGGCACUGAAAAUGCCUAGAUGAGUGCUCUAACUCCAUGAACA